CAAUAGCGUAUAUUAAAGUUGUUGCAGUUAAAAAGCUCGUAGUUGGAUUUCUGGUGGGAGCGAUCGGCCUGGCGCUUAGCGCGAGUACUUGCAUCGUCUCCGGCCAUCCUUGGGGAGAGUCUGUCUGGCAUUAAGUUGUCGGGCAGAGGAUCCUCAUCGUUUACUGUGAAAAAAUUAGAGUGUUCAAAGCAGGCUUAUGCCGUUGAAUAUAUUAGCAUGGAAUAAUAAGAUAGGACUUUGGUACUAUUUUGUUGGUUUGCGCACCAAAGUAAUGAUUAAUAGGGACAGUUGGGGGUAUUCGUAUUCCGUUGUCAGAGGUGAAAUUCUUGGAUUUACGGAAGACGAACUACUGCGAAAGCAUUUACCAAGGAUGUUUUCAUUAA
rnacentral:rRNA from 1 species